rnacentral:siRNA from 1 species
UCAGAGCCUAUGAUUGGCCCAAC